rnacentral:lncRNA from 1 species
AGACUUUGCAAGCAGAGCGCGCGCGAAAUCGUCGGAUUUCCAGCAAGGCAGCAAAUAUUUGCAGGCAGGAGAAAGAAGCGGAGCCGAGCCGCGCCGCCGAGUCCCUCCCCCCUGAGCCCCGGCGCCGGCCUGGGCGGACCCGGCCGCGCAGUUAAAGACAGAAAAGAAACCGGGAAUCUGCGAGGCUGGGGGGCGGGGAGCGACACCAAAGGCCAGAAACUGCAGCACGGCCGAGGCCCUGACGAGCCGGGCCUGGGGGAGGAGAAGUCCCUUCCCAUUCCAGCUCGAUCAAUCUUGCUGGGCUGCGAUCGGAAACCCGCCCAGGCCAGGAGGAGUCGCGAGUGGUGGGGAGAGUCAAAAAAGAGGAGAUGCGCCGGGAGAUUACCCCCGCCCCCGCACUCCGCCCCCAGCCCGGCCCCGGCCUCCACUUCGAGGGAUCCUGAGCCUCCCACAGCCACUACCACCUUUUCCCCGGUUGAGAAAACCCCUGAUUGUAGCGAGAUAAAAAUUGGGUGGGGGAACAGGUGGAUGCCGCCGGAGAAAAAGGGACGGAGGCAGCCCAGCCGGCGGCCCUGGGUCUCCAGGCGCCAGCAGUCCAGCAGCGACGGACACCCGGCGGACCUCAGCCGGGACGCCUCGGGCAGCUGCUUCUUGCUCGCUGCCGCACCCACCUCUGCACCCCAACUCCGGUCAGCCCAGCAGCCAAAGCAAAAAGGAGAUUCCUCAGUUUGCUCCCUUGGAGGCUGCAAAGCCUCUCUCUGGUUAUUCCAACCAUUAAGGAAAAAAGAGGUGAUGGGAAAGAUUUGGUCUGCACACAAAGACAUACCAGAAGAAUGCACAUUUAUGUGUAAAAUAGCCCAGGCACCAAGAAUGAGACAUUACUUCAGUACAGCCUAGAAAUGGUUAAAUAUGACUGAAUGCUAGAGGACAGGAGUGGUUUUGGGAUCUGCCCCACACACCUUAUCAGGAUCCCUAAUUCCCCGCCAUCUCCUAUGGUUCCAGAACACAAACUGCUGUAACCCCCAGAAGAGGAGUUCUCAGCCACCUGGCUCCCACGCACCUGCCGGUUCCCCAGGCACUCUGUGUGUCCGGGGCAGCUGGAAACCCUAACAGAAAACCCCUACCGAAGAAUGCUCACGAGUUCCCACUCCCAUCCCUUCUCUGCACCCCUGACUGUCCCCACCUCCUUUAUCUUUUGCAAGAAGGCAGGUUGCAAAUGUCAAAUAAAGAAAAAUGCAGCUUGCCA